GAUGAACGCUAGCGGCAGGCUUAACACAUGCAAGUCGAGGGGUAUAGUCCUUCGGAACUAGAGACCGGCGCACGGGUGCGUAACGCGUAUGCAAUCUACCUUUUACAGGGGAAUAGCCCAGAGAAAUUUGGAUUAAUGCCCCAUAGUAUAGUUUAUUCGCAUGAGUAGAUUAUUAAAGUUCCAACGGUAAAAGAUGAGCAUGCGUCCCAUUAGCUAGAUGGUAAGGUAACGGCUUACCAUGGCGACGAUGGGUAGGGGUCCUGAGAGGGAGAUCCCCCACACUGGUACUGAGACACGGACCAGACUCCUACGGGAGGCAGCAGUGAGGAAUAUUGGUCAAUGGACGCAAGUCUGAACCAGCCAUGCCGCGUGCAGGAUGACGGUCCUAUGGAUUGUAAACUGCUUUUGUACGAGAAGAAACACUGCUACGUGUAGCAGCUUGACGGUAUCGUAAGAAUAAGGAUCGGCUAACUCCGUGCCAGCCGCCGCCGUAA
rnacentral:rRNA from 1 species